UGGGGAAUAUUGGACAAUGGGGGCAACCCUGAUCCAGCCAUGCCGCGUGAGUGAUGAAGGCCUUCGGGUUGUAAAGCUCUUUUGGGUGGGACGAUGAUGACGGUACCACCAGAAUAAGCUCCGGCUAACUUCGUGCCAGCAGCCGCGGUAAUACGAAGGGAGCUAGCGUUGUUCGGAAUUACUGGGCGUAAAGGGCGCGUAGGCGGUCUAUCAAGUCAGGUGUGAAAGCCCUGGGCUCAACCCGGGAAUUGCGCUUGAGACUGAUAGUCUUGAAUUCGGGAGAGGUUGGUGGAAUUCCCAGUGUAGAGGUGAAAUUCGUAGAGAUUGGGAAGAACACCCGUGGCGAAGGCGGCCAACUGGACCGACAUUGACGCUGAGGCGCGAAAGCGUGGGGAGCAAACA
rnacentral:rRNA from 1 species